GAUGAACGCUGGCGGCGUGCCUAAUACAUGCAAGUCGAGCGAACAGACGAGGAGCUUGCUCCUCUGACGUUAGCGGCGGACGGGUGAGUAGCACGUGGAUAACCUACCUAUAAGACUGGGAUAACUUCGGGAAACCGGAGCUAAUACCGGAUAAUAUAUUGAACCGCAUGGUUCAAUAGUGAAAGACGGUUUUGCUGUCACUUAUAGAUGGAUCCGCGCCGCAUUAGCUAGUUGGUAAGGUAACGGCUUACCAAGGCAACGAUGCGUAGCCGACCUGAGAGGGUGAUCGGCCACACUGGAACUGAGACACGGUCCAGACUCCUACGGGAGGCGGCAGUAGGGAAUCUUCCGCAAUGGGCGAAAGCCUGACGGAGCAACGCCGCGUGAGUGAUGAAGGUCUUCGGAUCGUAAAACUCUGUUAUUAGGGAAGAACAAAUGUGUAAGUAACUAUGCACGUCUUGACGGUACCUAAUCAGAAAGCCACGGCUAACUACGUG
rnacentral:rRNA from 1 species